GUGCCCAGCCUGGCCUUGGCCUCUCCAUCUCUCGUGGCCUCUCUGGAGUUGGAGGCCAUCCUCCUUUUCCCCAUUCUGCCUGACCCAG
rnacentral:miRNA from 14 species